AUACGUAGGGAGCGAGCGUUGUCCGGAAUUACUGGGUGUAAAGGGAGCGUAGGCGGGAUGGCAAGUCAGAUGUGAAAACUAUGGGCUCAACCCAUAGACUGCAUUUGAAACUGUUGUUCUUGAGUGAAGUAGAGGUAAGCGGAAUUCCUGGUGUAGCGGUGAAAUGCGUAGAUAUCAGGAGGAACAUCGGUGGCGAAGGCGGCUUACUGGGCUUUUACUGACGCUGAGGCUCGAAAGCGUGGGGAGCAAACAGGAUUAGAUACCCUGGUAGUCCACGCUGUAAACGAUGAUUACUAGGUGUGGGGGGACUGACCCCUUCCGUGCCGCAGUUAACACAAUAAGUAAUCCACCUGGGGAGUACGGCCGCAAGGUUGAAACUCAAAUGAAUUGGCGGGG
rnacentral:rRNA from 1 species